rnacentral:tRNA from 1 species
UCCCUGGUGGUCCUGUGGUUAGGAUUCUGUGCUUUAACUGCCGAGGGCCCAGAUUCAAUUCCUAGUCAGGGAA